rnacentral:rRNA from 1 species
AUGGCGACUCCUUUCACCCUCUCAAAGGAUGGCAUCGAGAUGCAGUUUGCAACUAACCAUAUCGGGCAUUUUCUUUUGACACAUCUUCUGCUGGAGACCAUGAAGAAGACAUCUCGUGAAUCAAACGUGGAAGGAAGAAUUGUUAAUGUUUCGUCAGAGGGGCACAGGUUUGCAUACAAGGAAGGCAUCCGUUUUGCCAAACUGAAUGAUGAGGAAGAGUAUAGCACCAUCGCAGCAUAUGGGCAGUCAAAGCUUGCCAACAUUUUACACGCUAAUGAACUUGCCAGGAGAUUUAAGUUCUUUAUCACUAUGAGCUGA